rnacentral:tRNA from 1 species
GGAGAUGUAGCUUAGCUGGUAAGGCGCUUGCCUAGCAUGCAUACAGCACUGGGUUGGAGUCCCAGCAUCACAU